rnacentral:rRNA from 1 species
GACGGAAGGUGCAAGCGUUGCUCGGAAUUACUGGGCGUAAAGCGCGCGUAGGCGGCUGGAUAAGUCGAUUGUGAAAGCCCCGGGCUCAACCUGGGAAUUGCAGUCGAGACUGUUCGGCUAGAGUGUGGGAGAGGGUGGUGGAAUUCCACGUGUAGCGGUGAAAUGCGUAGAGAUGUGGAGGAACACCAGUGGCGAAGGCGACUCUUUGGCCUGUAACUGGCGCUGAGGCGCGAAAGCGUGGGGAGCAAACAGG